rnacentral:tmRNA from 1 species
GGGGGUGACAUGGUUUCGACUGUGAGGGUUGAGGCGCCGGAAGCGAGCCGAGAUCCCCGGAACCUCGUUAAAGAACCGGGAACAACCAUAAGUGCCGAAGACAACUUCGCACUCGCUGCCUAACUAAGCGGCGUGUCCGCCCGGAGGGUGCCUGCCUCACCGGAAUCGGGCAACGCAAUGCAGGAUGCCCCCGCCGGGGUGCCGGGACCGGCGGGGUAAGACACUUCCGGCUAGGGCCCAGGAGAAAUUGCCGACGGCGUCUCCAGGGUUCCGAAAGCUCGCUGUCGGCUGCGCUCGGAGAUGCCGACGCUAAAACUUCAGAGGACCGGGGUUCGACUCCCCGCACCUCCACAA